rnacentral:rRNA from 1 species
GACGUAGGGCGCGAGCGUUGUCCGGAUUUAUUGGGCGUAAAGAGCGUGUAGGCGGCCAUGCAGGUCCGUUGUGAAAACUCGAGGCUCAACCUCGAGACGCCGAUGGAAACCGUGUGGCUAGAGUCCGGAAGAGGAGAGUGGAAUUCCUGGUGUAGCGGUGAAAUGCGCAGAUAUCAGGAGGAACACCGAUGGCGAAGGCGGCUUACUGGACUGUAAAUGACGCUGAGGCUCGAAAGCGUGAGGAGCAAACAGG